rnacentral:tRNA from 1 species
AAGGAGUUAGUUAAAAUAAAUAUAACAUUAGAGUGUCAAUCUAAAAUUACUAAUCGAUUAGUACACCUUG